rnacentral:rRNA from 1 species
GACGAACGCUGGCUGCGUGCCUAAUACAUGCAAGUCGAACGCAGUGGGGACGGGUGAGUAACACGUGGGUAACCUCCCAUCAGAGGGGAUAACACUUGGAAACAGGUGCUAAACCGAUACUGAUUGAUGGACCCGCGGUGCAUUAGCUAGUUUGGGAGGUAACGGUUCACCAAGGCCACGAUGCAUAGCCGGCCGUAGAGGGGGAUAGGCCGAACUGGGACUGAGCCACGGCCCAGACGACUACGGGAGGCAGCAGUAGGGAAUCUUCGGCAAUGGACGCAAGUCUGACCGAGCAACGCCGCGUGAGUGAAGAAGGUUUUCGGAUCGUAAACCUCUGUUGUUAGAGAAGCGGUAUCUAACCAGAAAGCCACGGCUAACUACGUGCCAGCAGCCGCGGUAAUAC